rnacentral:lncRNA from 1 species
UCUCUCUCUCUCUCUCUCUCUCACCCAUCCCUCCUAUAGGCACUGUGAUCCAAGACUAGAGAACACCAACCACAUAGAUGCAGCAUCUCACACAUCAACACCCUUGGCACUGAACCACCAUGGUUACUCCAACAAGCACUGCCCCAGCCACAUGCCUGGCUGCUUUUCAUCAACCCCAUGGGCCGUGGUAUCUCUCUCUCAUCUUUGCCAAUUGUUGUGGUCCAAGACCUCCACAGCCAGAUACGGGCUCCACUUCUUUACCUUCCCCAUCAUCAUGGGGCAGAUGCUGCUAUAUCAUGGGAGGGUAACUCAAUGGGGCUGUACCAGUGGAGGGCACAUGCCCCAUCAUGGUGUUGAGUACCAAGCAGGUGUGCACAGAUAGACAGGUGGCCAAGUAUGGGGCACACAAUACAGUGAAGAUGACCGAGUUGGAGAGGAUAAAGAUUAGGGGUGGAGGAGGAGAUGACUAGAGCUAAGGAAAUGAAAUGAAGACUGACUGAAGUGGUUGAACAUUCUGAAAAACUUAAUACCACAUCUUUCAGGCCAUGUUCUAUCAAUCCUUAUUGACCGAUUGAUUUUAAAAAUAUGGAUUAUGGACUGCAGUGCCAAAGAACCCUCACUGAUCAAUUUGUUUUUUUCACAGGUUCAUGCUCAUGAUGUUUCUAUGGAGUAUGGCCCCUAGCUUAAUAACAUAUAGAUCUAGUCACUACAAUGAUAUUAAAAUUAAGGUGGGUUCAAAUGAUGAAGAACGCUUGCCAUCCAAAUUCUACUUCACUGUCAUUCCUUGAUUCCACAUUUCUUUCAUGUAUACUUUCAGCAGCUCAAAUGAGAAAGAAUGGAUGUAAAUUUUCAAAACCCUGAAUAAGUAUGUGACAAGCUUCAGUUCCACCACGGGAGAAGCAAGUAUUAAG